UUGAGGGUAGUUGACAGUGGGGGGCUGGGGUGGGUGGAAAUAGAUUAUUCAAAUCACAAAGAAGUAGGUGUGCCCUAAGUGACUGUUCCAUUACGGCGAGGAAGAAAUGUUUGCCUUCCUAAGCAUUCAUCCAACUCGCUGCUGCCGAUUGUGUGGGGCCGGAGGAGAGUGCCUGCUCACGAUCGGAAAGCAGCUCCUCUCCGUGUCCUGUGCUGGUGACUUCAGAGAGUGCAUUGUCGUGUAUGGACACCACACCGACCACUCUGUAACCCUCACCCUUCGCCCAGGCCCCUCCCUGCCUGCUCUGGCUGUGCACAGCUACCCCAGAUCCUCGCCCUGCUGUUUGUGGCCCCCACACUUUGAUUUCCCCUCGUGUCUUCACUUUCCACACUUGUACAUCCCGAAAGUUUCCAAGUCCUAUGGA